rnacentral:rRNA from 1 species
GGGAUAGCCCAGAGAAAUUUGGAUUAAUACCUCAUAGAAUAGCAGCUUUCGCAUGAAACCACUAUUAAAGUCACAACGGUGAAAGAUGAGCAUGCGUCCCAUUAGCUAGAUGGUAAGGUAACGGCUUACCAUGGCAACGAUGGGUAGGGGUCCUGAGAGGGAGAUCCCCCACACUGGUACUGAGACACGGACCAGACUCCUACGGGAGGCAGCAGUGAGGAAUAUUGGACAAUGGGCGCAAGCCUGAUCCAGCCAUGCCGCGUGCAGGAUGACGGUCCUAUGGAUUGUAAACUGCUUUUGUACAGGAAGAAACACUCCCUCGUGAGGGAGCUUGACGGUACUGUAAGAAUAAGGAUCGGCUAACUCCGUGCCAGCAGCCGCGGUAAUACGGAGGAUCCAAGCGUUAUCCGGAAUCAUUGGGUUUAAAGGGUCCGUAGGCGGCUUAGUAAGUCAGUGGUGAAAGCCCAUCGCUCAACGGUGGAACGGCCAUUGAUACUGCUAAACUUGAAUUAUUAGGAAGUAACUAGAAUAUGUAGUGUAGCGGUGAAAUGCUUAGAGAUUACAUGGAAUACCAAUUGCGAAGGCAGGUUACUACUAAUGGAUUGACGCUGAUGGACGAAAGCGGGGGUAGCGAACAGGAUUAGAUACCCUGGUAGUCC